rnacentral:sRNA from 1 species
GCCGCUUCCUCUCAGGGGCUGCCGCUGCCUGAGCCGCCCAGCCCCGGGGCCGCCGCGCUGCGCCGACCGCCGCCGCCGCCAUGAACAUCUUCCGGCUGACUGGGGACCUGUCCCACUUGGCGGCCAUCGUCAUCCUGCUGCUGAAGAUCUGGAAGACGCGCUCCUGCGCGGGUAUUUCUGGGAAAAGCCAGCUUCUGUUUGCACUGGUCUUCACAACUCGUUACCUGGAUCUUUUUACUUCAUUUAUUUCAUUGUAUAACACAUCUAUGAAGGUAUGGUAUGCCAUCCACUGGAAUGUAUUUCAUCUACAGUGCACAGGUCUAUGGAAACUUAAUUUAUGUCAGCUGUGUAUUUUUAAUUAAAAUGCUCCAAAAAU